rnacentral:misc_RNA from 1 species
UCACGUUUCAGUAUUCUUUUUCUUCAAGAUGAAGAGGAAUAGAAAAUCUCCUUGUUGAUAGCAAAAUUAAUGCAUGACCACCCAACAUCGAUUCGAGAUCUUAAAAAGCACGUUCCUACGGAGGCUGAAGCUGGCAUCGCGAGAAGUUAUGGCGGAGAGCACUGAACUCCAACAGCACACGGUCGUUCCAUCGUCAUCUUUGAUACCAUCAUCAUCAUCUUUGACAUCAGGGAUCACGAUCGGCCUCAACCUCCGCCAGUCACCGUCGCC